rnacentral:tRNA from 1 species
GAGGGUAUAGCUCAAGUGGUAGAGCACAUGCUUAGCAUGCACAAGGUCCUGGGUUCAAUCCCCAGGAACUCCU